UUGUGCUCACUUUGCCACACAUUUACUAAAACUGGAAAGAUAAGGAGAAGAUUAUCAUGGCCCUGUGGCAAUGAUGACACAUAAGCUCUUGAAGUAUUCAUAUGUUUG